rnacentral:lncRNA from 1 species
ACGCCACGUAGGAAGCGCGUGGCCCUAGCACCGAUAAAAACGCCAGUAUGUGUGCCGUUGUUCGUGAAGGAACACGACAAACGAGUCGCGUUCCAUAAAUCGUCGCGUUCGGUUUAAGUGGCGAGUGAAAUUGCCGCUGGCUGCUCAUGUCGUCGAACACCUUGAACGCGUUGUACACCGUAGGUACGAUGUCCUCGUACGGGUUAUCGGACGCCACGAAUAGAAAUUAAAAAGAGCAGAAAAGAAGAAGGAGCAUAGUAUAAAGGGAUGGAUGGAUACUGGUUGGAUUCCAAUACGCUGGUCGGACACGUGUUCCGAGCUAGACUGCGAUUCGCAUUAACACCUCGGUUACGAGAAAGGGUAAUUAUCGACGAAGGUCGACGUUCCUCCUGGCUACCAAGAGGACAAUGAUCGGUUCAACCAUUCUGCGACCACGAGUCUUCCUUUCCAGCGAUUACGAAUUAAGGAUCAAACGAAUUUAAUAAUCGGAAAGCGUUAGCAGGAUGAUACCGAAGUAUGCACACUCGAUGGCCAAGGUGUUAAAGAAGAAAUUUAACCAUGUCUCCGAUCCAAAGGGGAUAUUCGAUCAGAGGAGAAAGAGGUUGGACGUCGAGACACGCCGAGACACCGGGGGAAUAUGCUCGUGUCUGGUCGAAUGCGAGAGAAGAGGAACGAGAAAACGAGAUUUCGAGAAGGGGAAGAAAAACGCAGUCGAAACGAAGUGCUCGAAAGAGAAUGAGGAGGGAGCUGGAGGAUACGCGAAACGUUCCUUUGAGAACAGAGGAUUAUCAUCGUAUUUCUUGUAGCGUAAUGACAGGGCAAAAAUCUGGCGAAAAAGAGCAUUUCCUUGGCGACGCAUUCUUGCACGUAAAAGAAGGCAUAAAUUCUCCCGUUCUUGCGCCAUCUGUUAUUACACUUCGGCUCAUUCUUGCCAACGUACGUCUGCUCCGUGCAACGGGUUUGCCGCGCGCCAUUAUUCGAUCAAAUAUCCCCUGCGCUUGGAGGAAUUAACGUUAGGAAAUUAGCAAACGUGAUUAAAUAUCAAGGAAAAUUUGCGCCAAUCAUCGAGAGAAAAACGAGGAACUUCGGAACGUUCGAUCCCAUUGUACCAUUUAUAAUUUCUGCAGCUAGGCGGCCUCGUUAGGGAACGUUAUAAAAUUCAUUAGGGUACCGUGUUGAAAGUGUUAACGAGCUAGUGAAACCGCGUAAUAUCGGCGCAACUAGUUUUUCCGCGCCACGUACCUGCUAUUAUUACAAGCUGUUAGAUUAGAGGUUGCUUAGAGACAAACAUAAAUCGCAUUAUCGUUAACGCGGCGGAAUCUCGUAACUUGCAUCGAUGAUGCCAGGAGGAUAGCAAUAAAAGGCAACUUCUUUCUUUCCGCUCCGUUCUCUGGGAUUUCCAGGGUCGCUGGUACGAGCGAGUUUUUGAGUCGAUUAGCAUACUUAAUUAGGCGAGUCAGUCGCGGCUAACGUUGUCGUUUUACGAGUUACAUGUGCCUGGUCGAACACUCGACCAGUCCUCCGCGGGAACCUUUAAGUACUCGCGGUAGAUUAACCAUGAGAUACGUCUAAUAAAAUUAGCCUACUAUUAAUGCCGAUGAAUAUAGCAUAGAAAAGAGUAACAGAGAUCGAAGAUAAAGCGAAACCGUUCGGUAUGCGUUCCCUAAUACGGAAACGUAUUCCCAGAGACGCGGCAACAAUAUGGAUACCGAUCCGUUCCGAUCCUACCGGCUAAAUUAAUAGACGAGCCAUAGAAUUGGCGAGCACACGACGAUGGGAAAUAUAAAACGUCAAAUGUACCACGUUCCCACCCAUCGAUGCCACGGAAACACGUUCGAGAGUGCAUACGCAAAAGCAACGAGAGAGGAAGAGGAAGGAACUCGCCCCCAUGAGUCGGCUCGUGCACGAGGCUGCGAGCGUGCGGGAGAUUAAAACGAAAAACCAUUGGUUCUUUUUUUCCCUCCGGUUGAAAGAGCAUCGCACUUGGCCAUAGAGAGAUACCGGCUCCCUGCCGAGAAUUCAAUGGGUGCUCUUGACCAAAGCCAUUUGCCGAGAAAAAGAGAAAAAGGGAUAGGCUUUGGAUACCGAUACAGGAACAUCGGUACCGCUCCGGAAGGUCUUGGCCCCUUUGUCAGGGGAAAAGGAGAGAUAUAUUCCUCCUCGACCCGCGAACGCACAGUUUUCGCGCUCGGAAUCGGAGCGAAUGGAACUCGUUAAAAUGACCCACUUCGAUAGCAGAUCAAUUCCCGCCCGAAUACGAUGCGUUCGACCAAUCGCCAUUCGACUGUGUACAUACGCGGUGUAUUUAUCGAACCUGCAACUUCGGACGCGGAACGAAAUUCGGAGCUGGAAAUGGGAUUUAUCCCGCGCGAACGGAGAAAACGACGUCCAGGAUGCUCGUGAUAAAUACACCAGCGUCGAUGCUUCGUCGUGAUAUUAAUACUUCUCCGGACGAACUAGUACUCUAACGCGAUAUCGAUCACCAUUACGUAUCCAAGAGGAAUCGUCGAGCAUGCUUUUACUCUCCAUCGGACGGCUGGCUGCUUUACACGGAAUAAUGAAUGGACCCGUCUAUUCGUGCAUCGCGUGGAGUUCAUUUAUUUCUCAAUUAGCCAACCGUGAAACCGUUGAAACAGCCUGCAGUAGACGGGAACGAAUUAUCGAUCAAUUUCUCGGCCAGAAUACCGUAAUCACCGGAACAGAGUUUUCGUGGAUCGAGGAAAAAUGUGGAGUCCAGGGGAAGAGGAACAGGGCUACGUGGGGGUGCAGAAGGAAAAGGCAGGACAAAGGGGUAACGGGUGAGCGAAAAGACGGGUCGACCUGUUGCGACUUUCACCAGAGUGGCACACGAUCGGUGGAUUGUAGCGCAGAGGUUAAAAGCGAU